rfam:Gammaproteobacteria bacterium MFB021 Contig-059, whole genome shotgun sequence.
AUCGGUUCUCAGGGCGGGGUGGAAGUCCCCACCGGCGGUGAUGGCAGCGCGCUUACGCGCGGCCCAAGCCCGCGAGCGCCGAGCAGCGCCACACUGGCUGCCCGGGUCAGCAGAUUCGGUGCGAUUCCGAAGCCGACGGUCAUAGUCCGGAUGAAAGAGAACGGUG